GAUGAACGCUGGCGGCGUGCCUAAUACAUGCAAGUCGAGCGAACAGACGAGGAGCUUGCGCCUCUGACGUUAGCGGCUGACGGGUGAGUAACACGUGGAUAACCUACCUAUAAUACUGGGAUAACUUCGGGAAACCGGAGCUGAUACCGGAUAAUAUAUUGAACCGCAUGGUUCAAUAGUGAAAGACGGUUUUGCUGUCACUUAUAGAUGGAUCCGUGCCGCAUUAGCUAGUUGGUAAGGUAACGGCUUACCAAGGCAACGAUGCGUAGCCGACCUGAGAGGGUGAUCGGCCACACUGGAACUGAGACACGGUCCAGACUCCUACGGGAGGCAGCAGUAGGGAAUCUUCCGCAAUGGGCGAAAGCCUGACGGAGCAACGCCGCGUGAGUGAUGAAGGUCUUCGGAUCGUAAAACUCUGUUAUUAGGGAAGAACAAAUGUGUAAGUAACUAUGCACGUCUUGACGGUACCUAAUCAGAAAGCCCCGGCUAACUACGUG
rnacentral:rRNA from 1 species